rnacentral:lncRNA from 1 species
AGAUACAUCCUGGGAAGGACCCUACCCAGUCAUUUUAUCUACCCCAACCAUGGUUAAAGUGGCUGGAGUGGAGUCUUGGAUACAUCACGCUCAAGUCAAACCCUGGAUACUGCCAAAGGAGCCCGAAAAUCCAGGAGACAAUGCUGGGUAUUCCUGUGAACCUCUAGAGGAUCUGCACCUGCUCUUCAAGCGACAACCAUGAGGAAAGUAACUAGAAUCGUGGAUCCCCAUGGCCCUCCUUUGUCACAUUUUUCUUUUUACUGUUCUCUUACCCCCUUUCACUCUCACUUCACUUCCUCCAUGCUGCUGUACUACCAGUAGCUCCUCUUACCAAGAGGUUCUAUGGAGAAUGUGGCUUCCCAGAAAUAUUGAUGUCCCAUCGUAUAGGGGUUUUUCUAAAGGAGACCCCACUUUCACCACCCACAACCAUAUACCCCUGCACUUCAGGCCAUACAUUUCAAUCCCUGUAUCUUUAACCUCCUUGUUAAGUAUGUCUCUUCCAGAAUCGAAGUUGUAAAACUACAAAUGGUUCUUCAAAUGGAGCCCCAGAUGCAGUCCAUGACUAAGAUCUACUGCAGACCCCUGGACCAGCCUGCUAGCCCAUGCUCUGAUGUUAAUGACAUCAAAGGCACCCCUCCUGAGGAAAUCUCAACUGCACGACCCCUACUACGCCCCAAUUCAGCAGGAAGCAGUUAAGAGCGGUCGUUGGCCAACCUCCCCAACAUCACUUGAGUUUUCCUGUUGAGAGUGGGGACUGAGAGGCAGUACUAGCUGGAUUUCCUAGGCUGACUAAGAAUUCCUAAGCCUAGCUGGGGAAGGGGACCGCACCUACCUUUAAACACGGGGCUUGUAACUCACCUCACACCCAACCAAUUAGGUAGUAAAGAGGACUCACUAAAAUACCAAUUAGGCUAAAAGCAGGAGGUAAAGAAAUAGUCAAAUCAUAUAUUGCCUGAGAGCGUGGGGGAGGGACAAUAUUCGGGAUAUAAACCCUAGGCAUUCGAGACGGGAGUGGGCAACCCCCUUUGGGUCCCCUCCCAUUGUAUGGGAGCUCUGUUUUCACUCUACUAAAUCUUGCAGCUGCACACUCUUCUGGUCCGUGUUUGUUACGGCUCAAGCUGAGCUUUCGCUUGCCGUCCACCACUGCCAUUUGCAGACCCGCCACUGACUUCCACCCCUCCGGAUCCAGCAGGGUGUCCGCUGUGCUCCUGAUCCAGCGAGGCGCCCUUUGCCGCUCUGGAUCCAGCUAGAGGCUUGUCAUUGUUCCCACAUGGCUAAGUGCUCGGGUUCGUCCUAAUUGAGCUGAACACUAGUCACUGGGUUCCACAGUUCUCUUCCAUGACCCACGGCUUCUAAUAGAGCUAUAGCACUCACCACAGGGCCCAAGGUUCCAUUCCUUGGAAUCCGUGAGGCCAAGAACCCCAGGUCAGAGAACAAAAGUCUUGCCGCCAUCUUGGGAGCAGCCCACCCCAUCUUGGGAGUGGCCUGCCACCAUCUUGGGAGCUCUAAGAACAAAGACCUGCUGGUAACAGCUGGAUAAGCCCAACUGCUUUGUAGCUGCCUGUGUGUGGCAAACAACUAACACUCCUUAGGCCUCAAUUUUUUAAUUUAUAAAAUGAAAGCAGUAAAUAUCACAUCAUAUAAGUUGUUGAGUAUUUAUGAGAAUUAAAAGGAAUAAUCGCCAUAAAAGGCCUGAUACUGGCAAUAAUAUAUUUGACAAAUAUGAGUUUCUCUUUUUCCCUUUAUUCUACUUUACGGCAACUCCUACCUCCUAUUCUCUUUCUUUUGCUACUAAGCAGACAUCUGGGUUUGUUUGUUUGUUUCAUCAGGGAGAGGUUCUAAACGUUGUAUCCUUUAACCCUCAAAGCAUCAUCUAUUCUCUUAGAGGGUAAAGGGCAGAGAUGUUAUCCCUGUUGGUUUCUAACCUUGGAGAAGGUCAGAAAUGUCACGAGCUCUCUAUAGAUCCUCUUAUCAGCUUCUCUUACACAAUCCUUUGGUUCUGUGUGUGGUGAAAACUGGAUUGGGGGAAAAUCAGAUCAGUAGAAACCAAAUGUUGAAGCAACUGGUGAAUAGAGAAAUACAGAUUGCGUAUCCCUACAAUGGAAUGUUAUUCAGCAAUAGAAAGAAAUGAAGUAUGCACCCAUGCAUGGAAUGAUGCACGGAUGUUUACUACAGCAUAGAAGGACCUUGAAAACACAGGGCUAAGUGAGAGGAGCCGGACAGGAAGGAUCAUGUAUUGUAUGGUCUGCUCAUGUAUGAUCUGCUCACAUAUUGUGUGAUCUGCUUACAUGAAAUGCCCAAGGUAGGCAAAUCCACAGUCAGGAAAUAGAUUGGUGGUGGCCAGGGGCAGGGACUUUUGGGGGAAAAUAGGGAGUGACUGUUAACAGGGACCUGCUUUCUUCUGGGGUAAUGAAAAUGGUCAAACAUUGAUUGUAGUGAGGGUUGUGCGGCUCUGUGAAUAUGCAAAAAACCCAUUGAAUUGGACACUUUAAAUGGGUGCAAAUUAUAUUCCAAUAAAUUAUUUGUAGAAACUAAAAAAAAAAAAAAAGAAAAUUGGGGUACUGAGGUUUUUUCUCCUUCUUUCUUUGUAACUAAAAAUCAG